CCCCAACUGUCGUCCACAAGGCUUUUACAUUACAAGUGCCCCCCCGUCUUCUUCCUUGAAACCCCCAGUGUGAAGCCAGAGUCCAUUCAAGAAAAAUCUGGAACCCCUAGUGUGAACUCAGGGUCUGUUGAUGAAGUUGUAACAACUAUUGUCAAGUCAGAGUCCACAUUAAUGAUGCGGUGAACCCCGGUGUCAAGCCAGAAUUAUCUGAAGGAAGAUCCAGUAAGCACUCUGUUCAUCAAUUGCUUGUUUUCGAUUGAUUUAAUUCCAUAGUAUAUAAAUUCAAAAACUGUGUUUUAUGUUUAUCCUUGGAUGCUUAUUUUCACUUUUUCAGAAAAUUUGGUAAAUAAACAGUCUUUUGAUGAAUCGUUCUCCUUGUCAAUUGUCUGCUACAACGUUUAAAAACCUUAUUCGUACUUUGUUUUCGUAUGUGCUAUAUUAUGAACUUCAAUAUCUGUUAAUGCUUCUUAAGAACCUUCAUCAAGACUUAUCAUCAAUGAAA